CCACGUGGCCAUGCCAUCCUGCAAAUGCCCAAUCCUGUCAGAUCUCAGAAGCUAAGCAGCACAAAUCCUGGUUAGUACUUGAAUGGGAGACUGCCUUGGAAGACCAGAGGUUGUUAGAC
rnacentral:rRNA from 12 species